rnacentral:rRNA from 1 species
CCUACGGGAGGCAGCAGUGGGGAAUUUUGGACAAUGGGCGCAAGCCUGAUCCAGCAAUGCCGCGUGCAGGAUGAAGGCCUUCGGGUUGUAAACUGCUUUUGUACGGAACGAAACGGUGAGCUCUAAUACAGUUUGCUAAUGACGGUACCGUAAGAAUAAGCACCGGCUAACUACGUGCCAGCAGCCGCGGUAAUACGUAGGGUGCGAGCGUUAAUCGGAAUUACUGGGCGUAAAGCGUGCGCAGGCGGUGAUGUAAGACAGAUGUGAAAUCCCCGGGCUCAACCUGGGACCUGCAUUUGUGACUGCAUCGCUAGAGUACGGUAGAGGGGGGAUGGAAUUCCGCGUGUAGCAGUGAAAUGCGUAGAUAUGCGGAGGAACACCGAUGGCGAAGGCAAUCCCCUGGACCUGUACUGACGCUCAUGCACGAAAGCGUGGGGAGCAAACAGGAUUAGAUACCCUGGUAGUCCACGCCCUAAACGAUGUCAACUGGUUGUUGGGUCUUCACUGACUCAGUAACGAAGCUAACGCGUGAAGUUGACCGCCUGGGGAGUACGGCCGCGAAGGUUGAAACUCAAAUGAAUUGACGGG